UACAGAGGUGCCAAGCGUUAGGCGGAAUCACUGGGCUUAAAGAGCUCGUAGGUGGUUUGUCGCGUUGUUCGUGAAAACUCACAGCUCAACUGUGGGCGUGCGGGCGAUACGGGCAGACUGGAGUACUGCAGGGGAGACUGGAAUUCCUGGUGUAGCGGUGGAAUGCGCAGAUAUCAGGAGGAACACCUGCGGUGUAGACGGCUUACUGGACCAUAACUGACGCUGAGGCACGAAAGCGUGGGUAGCAAACAGG
rnacentral:rRNA from 1 species